ACGAAGGGUGCAAGCGUUACUCGGAAUUACUGGGCGUAAAGCGUGCGUAGGUGGUUCGUUAAGUCUGAUGUGAAAGCCCUGGGCUCAACCUGGGAAUGGCAUUGGAAACUGGCGACCUAGAGUGCGGUAGAGGGUAGUGGAAUUCCCGGUGUAGCAGUGAAAUGCGUUGAUAUCAUCAGGAACACCAGUGGCGAAAGCGGCUUACUGGGUCUCUUCUGACGCCGAGAUACGAAAGCUAGGGGAGCGAACGGGA
rnacentral:rRNA from 1 species